GACGAACGCUGGCGGCGUGCCUCAUACAUGCAAGUCGAACGCGAACGUCCCCUUCGGGGGGCUAGUAGAGUGGCGAACGGGUGAGUAACACGUGGGUAAUCUACCCUCAGGUUGUGGGAUAACAACUGGAAACGGUUGCUAAUACCCCUGCGGAUCCCUUGCUUUUCGGGGUGGGGGAUGGAAGGCGCUUUCUCUUCGGAGGAGGUGUCGCCCGAGGAUGAGCCCGCGUCCCAUUAGCUAGUUGGCGGGGUAAAAGCCCACCAAGGCGACGAUGGGUAGCUGGUCUGAGAGGAUGAUCAGCCACACUGGGACUGAAACACGGCCCAGACUCCUACGGGAGGCUG
rnacentral:rRNA from 1 species